AGCACUCGAGAUGUGCAAUCUGUUGCUCAACACUAAACAAGUAGCUGGAUGGGAGAGAUAGGAAGUGAGCCCAGAGGUGGAUCCUGUUAGUUUGUGCCUCCAGGAGCCUGGAUUGAAACUUUUGUUUCUCAGGGCUCUGUUAGUCUCCUUUAUUUUGUGCCUUUUUUAAUGUUUUACACUUUUUCUUUAAAUAGAUAUACUAGUUACUACUCCGAACAGACUCAUUUAUUUGCUGAAACAAGAUCCUCCAGCAAUAGACUUGACCAGCGUGGAGUGGCUGGUGGUGGAUGAAUCAGACAAGCUGUUUGAGGAUGGGAAGUCGGGGUUCCGGGAUCAGCUGGCUUCCAUCUUCCUGGCAUGCACCUCCCACGUGGUGAGAAGAGCCUUGUUCAGUGCAACCUUCGCGCAUGAUGUAGAGGAGUGGUGUAAACUCAACCUGGACAGCGUCGUGCUGGUGUCCGUUGGAGCAAGAAACUCUGCAGCAGAGACAGUAGAACAAGAGCUGCUGUUCGUUGGAUCUGAGACAGGAAAACUAACGGCAAUGAGAGAGCUCAUUAAAAAGGUAUUUUGGAGAAACAGAGUAUGUUGUGCUCUCUACUGAACUGAGCUGUGUGUUCUGUCAGAGACUCAAAAUUUCCUAGGGCAAAGACUUCUCUGUGACACAUGUUAAACUGUUGUCCAAAUCUGCUGUACAAGAGGAAGAGUAAAUACCCUGCCUAUGAAAACUGAGAGUGUUCCCUGUUCUUGGGUAUAUAUUUGAGUCUUGCUUAGAAGAAGUUUGU